AGUGAACGCUGGCGGUAGGCCUAACACAUGCAAGUCGAACGGCAGCACAGUAAGAGCUUGCUCUUACGGGUGGCGAGUGGCGGACGGGUGAGGAAUACAUCGGAAUCUACUUUUUCGUGGGGGAUAACGUAGGGAAACUUACGCUAAUACCGCAUACGACCUACGGGUGAAAGCAGGGGAUCUUCGGACCUUGCGCGAUUGAAUGAGCCGAUGUCGGAUUAGCUAGUUGGCGGGGUAAAGGCCCACCAAGGCGACGAUCCGUAGCUGGUCUGAGAGGAUGAUCAGCCACACUGGAACGGAGCCACGGUCCAGAGUCCUACGGGAGGCAGCAGUGGGGAAUAUUGGACAAUGGGCGCAAGCCUGAUCCAGCCAGACCGCGUGGGUGAAGAAGGCCUUCGGGUUGUAAAGCCCUUUUGUUGGGAAAGAAAAGCAGCAGGUUAAUACCCCGCUGUUCUGACGGUACCCAAAGAAUAAGCACCGGCUAACUUCGUG
rnacentral:rRNA from 1 species